AUAAGAUUGGAUUCUGAGGCUAUAAUUUAGGAAUAUAGACUUUCGGUCUUUUUCUUAUUGGCCCCCAAUAUAACCAGAUAAUUCUCUGUCUGGUUUCCUGAGGGCCAAGUUACUUUCAUGCAGAACCAUUCUUAACCAUUCUUUAACCAUUUUUAAAACCUAGGGAAGCGUAAGACUACAGACAAGCCACAGCCCAAAGCCCAGGCUGCUGACUUGAGCACAGAUGGGAGAAUGUUAACGGCCAAGAAAUAUGAGGUCUUUGGCUCUUUUCCCAGAACUGCCAGGCUAAGACCUUGGCAGAGACCCAACAGGAAACUGAACUCUAUUUGCAUAUCCUUUUAUACAUGGGAGAUUAAAAGCUUCAACCUUGAGUGAUCACAGUUUUUGAAAAAUCCCGAUGAGGCAUUAAAGAGGAGGAGGAGUGUCCCAAGGGAGGUGAGCUGGAGGCAAAGUAAGAUCUUUAUUCUCUCUUCUGAGUGAAAACCACCCUCCUUUAGACCAUUAAGAGCUGAGGGUAUUGGGACUUCCCUGGUGGUUCAGUGGAAGUCCAGGGCUAAUAAAAGCAGCCAUGGCACAUGGUCAGCUUCACGUGAGAGGCAGAUAUGAGCUUAACUUUCUGGCCACCUAUCACCAUUCAGAACAGCCCUCUGGCCAACAGGACUUCUGAAAGGGUCUUUCAGGGCUGGUUCCUUAGGGUACCAUCGCAUCUCUUCUCACACUUUGGCCCAGCCACCUCUGGAUGCAGUAAGUUGGAAGAUGAAAAGACUGGGAAAGAUCAAAAUAGCAAAGCAAAGAAAUCAUUUUAAAUAAAAAUAAUAGAAGACCAAGUAUGAUUAAGAUGGAGGUGUAGGUCUGGGACAGUGAGAUCUAGCUGGAGAAAGAUCACUGAUCUUACAUGCAAAUUCUCCUUUUAUUCUGCUUACUAGGGAGAUUUCAACCCCCUUCAGUUUCUCUGUGGUUUGUAGUGGUGAAAUCACAAUAAUACUCAGCCUCUGGUUUCAGUUUGUUUGUUUGUAAAUAUAAGUGAUUGUUGAUGUUAUUCCUAGUGAGAAUAAAUCUUCCCUCCAUGGAAAAUUUGAAACACUUAACCUUAGUCUGAAGGGACUAAUUUUAGAAAGAAAAUUCAUGCAGUCUUUCUAGAACUUGAUGGUAGUAGUUCACCUAGAAGAGUGAACUGCUGUGAGUGACCUACUGGGAAGUUAAAUCCAGAGGCAUUGUGGAUGGUCCUUAGGGAGUCCCCAGUACUUCUUUUGGUCCCCACAGAUGAUUCAGUGACUGGACCUCUGGAAAAGAGGAAACCCUGAUAAGAAUUGUGAGAGACAGACAUGAUACUCUCUGCAAAAGGAUGAUUCAUGCAUUAUCAUAGAGGAAUAGCACAAAGAGGGUCAGUCCAGAUAGAUACCACAUGCUGGAAAUUGAGGGUGGAAAAGUGCUUUCAAACAUACCACUGAGGCUAUCAGUCUUCUUGGUUGCAGGAUGUAAGGAUAGUAUCAUGGGGAACCCAAAGGAAAUAGUUUUUCCCUCCUUGCACAGGUUCCUUUUAUAGAAUAGAGCCUAAUACAGUUAGAAAUGACUUUGGGAAGGGAUUGGACCCACACUUUUGCCCACAGACAUGAUUUAAAAGGUUUAAUAAGCUCCAGAAAAUGGAGCCUCUUGGGUUGCAUGGCACAAUAUCUUUGGAGGCAGCUACUUGGGCUUGCGUCCAAGCUCAGCCACUCACUAGCAGUAUGACCUUGGGCAAUGCCUUACUCUGGCCUUGCUUCUGUGUUUUCCUCUACUUACACAUAGAAAAGUACUCCUUAACUGUAGGUCAUCAAAGAAUAUUGUUAUUGGUACCUCUUUACAACUAUUGAUGAUUUUCAUUUUAAGGGGAUUUUUCAUUUUUAACUUCUUUUUGCUGAAAUUUCAGAAUGUUUUCUCUUUUUCUUGGCUCAGAGGGUGACUGAUCACAGCAGCAUAGAGGAUGAGAAUGGGAAGGGACCUCAGGUUGUCUCAGUUCCGGCUUCCUUGCCUUGUGCAUGAGCCUGGGGAGGGGUGUAGGUUCUCACAGGGCAAAAGUAGACUUUGAACACAUAUUCCAGUCUGGUGGGUUUCUUUUCCAUUGUGUAAUAACUCCUCACAGGCUUCAAUUCAAUGCUGUUUAAUUUCUCCAAGACUUACUCAGGCUAAUUCAGAAAUCUGUCAGGCCAGUGAUCUGUGGGAAGAGCUGAUCAGUGCUGAGUAUAACACUGCCAUUCUUAUAGUCUUAUAGCACCUCAUUAGCUUUCUUUUUCUUAACAGCAUUGUCAUAUGGUGGACUUUUGUUUGUUUUGAAAAAGAAAGAAGGGGAAAUUUUUUUCUCUGAAUGGAAGGCAGGCUCAGGCCAUUGACCCACCCAUUCCUCAGUAGACAGGAUCAGAGGCACUGCUGCGGGGUCAAAGGUCAGGGAGUGAGGAGAAGGGUCCCUGAUGAGUGGGGUUUACUUAGGCUGAGAAGGUAGAGUGGGAGACCAGCCUUUCGUCUUUAUACUGAACACCUGUUAUGAACUUGGAAUGGAGCUAAGCUCCCUGAGGAAUGGAAAAUGCCUAGGACAGCAUUUGAGAUUUCAUGGAGUCUCUUUAGAAAGGGGUAGAAAGCAAGAGUGGAAGUGUAGUGGACCCUCUGGGGUUGUUUGAGGCUCUGGACUCCCACAACACCCAUGAGACAUCUUAUUCUUCCAGCUCAACUUGGCUAGGAGGAGAUUUUCCAGCUGACCAGAGUGGAGAGUAGCAUAGCAGGGAUGUGGGCUGAAAAUAUGGGGGUGACAGGGUGCUUUCCUGUGGCAACCAGGUCAGGGAGUGGUGGGAGGUGUUCAUGACCAGGGGUUGGAAGCCCUGCUGUCUUUUGGCUUUUCUACCAGCUGGCUGUGGGCUGGAGAGAAAGUCAAAUUUCUCCAUUUCUUAAGUCACCUAAGGAGGGGAAAAAAUAUUACCUGCCCCAGAUUCCAUUUGUCAAUGCAAUUCUACCAUCUUGCUUUUUGUGUUCUAUGUUUUUGACCUUUCAGCACAGCUUCCUCCCCACUGGUACUAAUUCAUGGAAAUACAUCAUGUUGGUUUUAAAAAAUGGAAGUCUGAAUGCUUGGUGACAGAGCCUGCAGCAAGAGAAGAAAAAAAAAAAAAGUUGCCUGUUCCUCCAAGUUGCAGAAAAACUGGUACUACUAUGCAUCAUAAAACUGGCCAUUAAAAUGUUAUUUCUAACAGAAAAUUCUGGAAAACACCCAGACACUAAAUAUAUCUUACCGCUCAUCCCAGACCUUUGUUGAAAUGGAACCUUCUCCUUGUAGCCUUUCUUGAUCAGCUGAUUUAAAAAAUUUGCCUCCAUCAGACCCCUGGUUUCCUACUCUCUCUACCUCCCUGCAAGUCCUCUCCAUGGUAGUCAUCACAAUCUAACACAUAUUUUACUUAUUUCGUAUUUGUUUUCACUAAAAUAGACUCCUGAACUUCUGUAUUCCCAGUGAGUCUAGAAAAGUACCUAGCAUAUAGUAGCUACUUAAUAAAUAUUUAUUGAAUAAAUAAUGUUGUUAUAUUUUAUGAAAAUAAUCUCCAAAAGUCUGCACUUUGGAUUGGUUUCCUUUCUUAAUAAUUUG
ensembl:lncRNA